UACGGAGGGUGCGAGCGUUGUCCGGAAUCACUGGGCGUAAAGGGCGCGUAGGCGGUGGGGUAAGCGUGCGGUGAAAGCUCGGGGCUCAACCCCGAGUCGGCCGUGCGAACUGCUCGACUGGAGCCUGUCAGAGGCGGGUGGAAUUCCGGGUGUAGCGGUGAAAUGCGUAGAGAUCGGGAGGAACACCAGCGGCGAAGGCGGCUCACUGGACAGUCACUGACACUCAACUACGAAAGCGUGGGGAGCAAACAGG
rnacentral:rRNA from 1 species